rnacentral:rRNA from 1 species
CGCGUAGGCGGUCUUUCAAGCCAGAAGUGAAAGGCUACGGCUCAACCGUAGUAAGCUUUUGGAACUGUAAGACUUGAGUGCAGGAGAGGAGAGUAGAAUUCCUAGUGUAGCGGUGAAAUGCGUAGAUAUUAGGAGGAAUACCAGUAGCGAAGGCGGCUCUCUGGACUGUAACUGACGCUGAGGCACGAAAGCAUGGGGAGCAAACA